UCACUCCAACCCCUGUGACAUACCUAUUUGUUGCCUCGGCGGUGCCUGUUCCGACACCCCGCCAGAGGACCCCAAACCCUGAUUACAUUUAAGAAGUCUUCUGAGUAAACCGAUUAAAUAAAUCAAAACUUUCAACAACGGAUCUCUUGGUUCUGGCAUCGAUGAAGAACGCAGCGAAAUGCGAUAAGUAAUGUGAAUUGCAGAAUUCAGUGAAUCAUCGAAUCUUUGAACGCACAUUGCGCCCGCUAGUAUUCUGGCGGGCAUGCCUGUCCGAGCGUCAUUUCAACCCUCAAGCCCCCGGGCUUGGUGUUGGGGAUCGGCGAGCCUCCGCGCCCGCCGUCCCCUAAAUCUAGUGGCGGUCUCGCUGUAGCUUCCUCUGCGUAGUAGCACACCUCGCACUGGGAAACAGCGCGGCCACGCCGUUAAACCCCCAACUUCUGAACGUUUGACCUCGGAUCAGGUAGGAAUACCCGCUGAACUUAAGCAUAUCAAUAAGCGGAGGA
rnacentral:rRNA from 1 species